AUACGUAGGUGACAAGCGUUAUCCGGAUUUACUGGGUGUAAAGGGAGCGUAGGCGGGAGUGCAAGUCAGAUGUGAAAUACAUGGGCUCAACCCAUGGGCUGCAUUUGAAACUGUAUCUCUUGAGUGCUGGAGAGGUAGACGGAAUUCCUUGUGUAGCGGUGAAAUGCGUAGAUAUAAGGAAGAACACCAGUGGCGAAGGCGGUCUACUGGACAGUAACUGACGCUGAGGCGCGAAAGCGUGGGGAGCAAACAGGAUUAGAUACCCUGGUAGUCCACGCUGUAAACGAUGAAUACUAGGUGUGGGGGGACUGACCCCCUCCGUGCCGCAGUUAACACAAUAAGUAUUCCACCUGGGGAGUACGGCCGCAAGGUUGAAACUCAAAUGAAUUGGCGGGG
rnacentral:rRNA from 1 species